AAUACUCACCACGCGCAUAACCAACAAACCUCAACAUUCACAAGACACUACCCCCAAACAUCGACCCACUUGGAUUCCCCACUCUUAUUACAAGACUAAGGGAGAAAAACCGGACUGAAACUGACCGUGAUGCAAGAAAUAAAAGCAAAAAGAAGAAGCAAAAAUGCAGCAACGGCCAAACAAAAGUGCAGCAAACAUUUCCUUAUUCUCUGUGAUUUUACAACUUCAUUAGCUAAUCAGGGAGCUCACAUUAGAUUCCAAAACCAUCAUAAAACAUUAGCUUAGACAUGCAAACCAAGGGGAGAUGAGAAAACUGGCAAGUUUGGAAUCAUUCCUAUGUUCCUUGCUGCAAUUUUCAUUCAACAGCUUUUGC
rnacentral:lncRNA from 1 species